rnacentral:rRNA from 1 species
UACGAGUGCCUCGAGCGUUAUCCGGAAUCAUUGGGCGUAAAGGGUGCGUAGGCGGCGAUGUUAGUCUCGCGUUAAAUCUUUCGGCUCAACCGAGAGUCUGCGUGGGAAACGGCAUUGCUUGAGGACGGAAGAGGUCUCUGGAACUCAUGGUGUAGCGGUGAAAUGCGUUGAUAUCAUGGGGAACACCAAAAGCGAAGGCAAGAGACUGGUCCGCUCCUGACGCUGAAGCACGAAAGCGUGGGUCGCGAAUGGG